CAGAUACAACAUAAUUCCAGCAGCUGUUGGAAGAAAUCACACGGUGGUUGUAACUAGCGAAGGGGAAAAUGCUUUUCAUUUGGUGACAACAUGCAUGGGCGGGAGGGGUUCACUAAGGAAUGGUGAGUGAUAAGCUUGAUCAUCGGAGCUUGUGAAACCGUGUGAGAUUUUGAAUCCCCACAACAAGCCCGAGAGGCUGGCACUAAUCACGAGGAUGGGGGCUGAGAAGAUGCAUGACAAGCUUCCCCAUAUGAUCAGAGCCGUGCGUUAAGCAGGGCUGAUUGUCACCUGGGUCAGCGAUCCCAUGCACCGGAACACCAUCAGCACAUCUUGCAGGCUGAGGCUUUGUUUGAUGUCCAUGAGUGAGAGGGAGCUACCCUGGAAGGGUUCACCUGGAAAUGACAUGGCAGAACGUUACAGAGUGCAUUGGUGAAUCCAACACAAUGACCUGAAAUGAUCUCAUUUCCUGCUACCACACACACUGCGACCCCAGGCUGAAUGCGUCACAGUCGCUCGAGCUGACCUUCACCAUUGCCGAUAGGCUAAGGAAGAAGGACAUGGAACAACCUCAUAUCUAGGGUACAAGCUUAAGAUAUAUAUCUUAUGUUUCUUCCCUGCAAAACCCUCUUCUGCUGCUAGAGGACAUAAUUUUACAUUCUUUAGUUUUUUCAGUAGUAUAGGUGGCGUUUGAUUUUGGAAAUACCGAGGAAAAUCUCCCUCAAAUAAUAGGAUAUAGUUAUUUUGUUGCAUUACCAAUUGUGCUUGGUUCAAUUUCUUUUGUGUUCAUCCUUUCUUUGAUGCAGAUAGUGUGAGAGAGAUUACAUGAGACCUGACAAUAGAUUACUCAUUCGCUAUCUGCUGAGAUUGUACAUAAUGUUUAUUGAUUAAAUUUGGAAAUGUAAUCUGAGAAGUAAGGGCAUCUAUAGUGCUUCCCUA